rnacentral:rRNA from 1 species
UGGUGGAGUGAUUUGUCUGGUUAAUUCCGUUAACGAACGAGACUUUGACCUACUAAAUAAUUCGGCCAACUUCGGUUGGUUUUUAGUUUCUUAGGGGGACAACCGAUGUACAAUCAAUGUAAGCUCGAAGCAAUAACA